rnacentral:rRNA from 1 species
CCUACGGGUGGCAGCAGUCGAGAAUCAUUCACAAUGGGGGAAACCCUGAUGGUGCGACGCCGCGUGGGGGAAUGAAGGUCUUCGGAUCGUAAACCUCUGUCAUGUGGGAGCAAAUCAAAAAGAUAGUACCACAAGAGGAAGUGACGGCUAACUCUGUGCCAGCAGCCGCGGUAAUACAGAGGUCGCAAGCGGUGUUCGGAAUCACUGGGCGUAAAGCGUGCGGUGGUUGUUUCGUAAGUCGCGUGUGAAAGGCGCGGGCUCAACCCGCGGACGGCAGAUGAUACUGCGCGACUAGAGUAAUGGAGGGGGAAGCGGAAUGCUCGGUGUAGCAGUGAAAUGCAUAGAUAUCGAGAGGAACACUCGUGGCGAAGGCGGGUUCCUGGACAUUAACUGACGCUGAGGCACGAAGGCCAGGGGAGCGAAAGGGAUUAGAUACCCCUGUAGUC